UGAGCAAUCUGCCCUUCUCUUUGGAAUAAGCGUUGGAAACGACGUCUAAUGCCGAAUACGACCUCCUUUCGCAUGAUCGGAGGUGGAAAGCUCCGGCGGAGAAGGAUGAGCUCGCGGCCUAUCAGCUAGUUGGUGUGGGUAAUGGCCCACCAAGGCGACGACGGGUAGCCGGCCUGAGAGGGUGACCUGCCACACUGGGACUGAGACACGGCCCAGACUCCUACGGGAGCAG
rnacentral:rRNA from 1 species